rnacentral:lncRNA from 13 species
AUGAAAGAGCGCACUCUGGCUCUGAAGCAAGUAAGGUACUUAGUAGAAAAUGGCCCUUUUAUAUAGUGCAUCCAACUAUAACAUCACAAGGCUGGACUUGUAACCACUUUAUAGAGAAAGUACCCAAGAGUACACGAUCUGAGGAGGGAAGCCGAACAAACAGUGGAAAAUGAAGAAUGGAAAAAAAAAAAAAGGAAAAGAACCUUGUCUUAUAUUCUGUUAAGGAAAGAGAAAAGUUUUACAGCCAAAGGCCUUACAGAAGGUCUUAUAAAAUAUUCUGGUUUUGAGCUUCAAUAACUUUAUAAUCUUCAUAUCCAACCAGUUUUUGCUGUGUUUGCAUUUUACUUGGUACGAGAUACAUCGUUGAAGGGUUCACCUAUGCAUCCAAGCUAUUAUAUGCAACUGGGAAUAGAUGGUCAACGCUGUUUACAAGGACAACUCCUGAAACUCCUCUUCUUCUAAGAGAACUCCUGAAAGUUCUUUCUUUUCAGGAGAAUCUAGGUUGUUUAUUUAUCAAGCCUUCUAAGAAAGGAAGUAACAGAUGUGGAAACAAAAACAGCAGGAUAACCUUGGCUGCAAGGACACGGAGUUAUCACAAGGAGGACCAAGGACAUAAGCCCAGAGACUCCAGAGUCUAUGUGUAAAUCCAGUAUGCCACCACACUCCUAUUAAAAGUGUUGUGCAAAUCUGCAUCUAGCAAGGAAACGUGGUACCUUCUGAAUAUGUCUAUGGAAAAAACAUCUUUAAAAGUAUUUUACACAUAAGUUCCUAGGAAAAUAGUGCUUUAUUGCUACAUACACACCCCAACUAAAUGAAACUGGAGUUUUAAACCCACAAUUACUAUGAUUUGAUCAAAUACUCAUCACUGAGGAGAGCAGAGAGUAGGUUUUCAAUACUCAUGUCUAUCCAUAGCUGCUUCUCUGAUCUUGGGCCUCAGUUCUUGCAUGUGUAAAAUAAAGGAGUGGGCAGGAAUUUUGGUCA